rnacentral:rRNA from 1 species
CUGGCCUACGGGGCGCAGCAGUGGGGAAUAUUGGGCAAUGGGCGCAAGCCUGACCCAGCAACGCCGCGUGAAGGAAGAAGGCUUUCGGGUUGUAAACUUCUUUUCUCAGGGACGAAGGAAGUGACGGUACCUGAGGAAUAAGCCACGGCUAACUACGUGCCAGCGGCCGCGGUAAUACGUAGGUGGCAAGCGUUAUCCGGAUUUAUUGGGUGUAAAGGGCGUGUAGGCGGGAGCGCAAGUCAGAUGUGGAAACUCAGGG